rnacentral:rRNA from 1 species
AGUGAACGCUGGCGGUAGGCCUAACACAUGCAAGUCGAACGGCAGCACAGUAAGAGCUUGCUCUUACGGGUGGCGAGUGGCGGACGGGUGAGGAAUACAUCGGAACCUACUUUUUCGUGGGGGAUAACGUAGGGAAACUUACGCUAAUACCGCAUACGACCUACGGGUGAAAGCAGGGGAUCUUCGGACCUUGCGCGAUUGAAUGAGCCGAUGUCGGAUUAGCUAGUUGGCGGGGUAAAGGCCCACCAAGGCGACGAUCCGUAGCUGGUCUGAGAGGAUGAUCAGCCGCACUGGAACUGAGACACGGUCCAGGGGCCUACGGGAGGCAGCAGUGGGGUAUAUUGGACAAUGGGCGGAAGUCUGGUCCAGCCAUACCGCGUGGGUGGAGAAGGCCUUCGGGUUGUAAAGCCCUUUUGUUGGGAAAGAAAAGCAGCAGGUUAAUACCCCGCUGUUCUGACGGUACCCAAAGAAUAAGCACCGGCUAACUUCGUG